GCAGAGAGAGAAUAUCAAAGGAGAGAGAAAUUAACAAGAUCGAACAUGACUAAUCAUGCCGUAUUGUCUGACAACUCGAUUGAUCUAAUCAAGAUGAUUUAACAAAAUCAUGGUUAAUAUAUAAAUAACUUAGUAAAAAUCACAGAUAAUUGAAUCUAGUGAUAUCCGGAUUUGACCAAGAUAGGUACUAGUAUGCUGCC
rnacentral:lncRNA from 1 species